UUUGAUAAGAAUGGGGGUAUGUUCAAGGAGACACCAGACGGCAGCUUGUCAAAGAUAUUAAAACCUUUGUCUGCUAAUAUCAAAUCACCUGCAUGAAGCUGGUUCAACACACCACAGUGGUCCACAAUAGCAGAGUCAGAUGUUGAGCCUGGAUACAACUCGGAGGAAAACACUAGAGCACCAUUUGGAGCCACGCAUGUAACAGCCUUCACAGUGUGUCUACUUUUAUAGCUGCUGUAUGAAAGCGACUGGCAAUUCAUGUCUGAGGGAACGUCCUGGAUAACCUCUGUUGCAUCCAUAGCAAUGCGGGCAGAAGCAAACUCCUCAAAAGACUUCGGCAAAGACCCCUUACAUUUAAGCUGACUAGGCAUUCCUACUUCUUUGAGAACACCGUCAAAGAAGAUUUCAUGAAGUACUGACACAUAUGUGUUUAUAAUGUUUGAAACAGUAGCACGGCUUGUCCCAAACCUCACUGCCAAAUCCAUGUCACGGUAAUUCAGCCUCAGCUUCAUAAGUGUUAUCAGGAGCUGGUCCUCAAUAGAAAAGCAGGUCACGGCCCAACCAGCAUAAUAAUUAAACGGCGCCAUUCUACUGAGCAUACCGACAAUGACAUUGAAAACAUCAGCUGGGAAGGAGGUGUAGAGCAACAUCUACAAUUGAAUUAAAGCACAUAGGAAAAUGUUCGGUGUGUUCGCUUUCAUUUCCUGUUACAUAUGUCAAAGCAGAAAAACAUUCCAGACACUUCUUGACCAUUCCAUUUGACCAGUGUGUUAAUACAUAAAUUGGUACUUAGUAGGAAACUGUGAUCAAUAUAGAAGAUAAACCUAUUGUUAUUAAACUAGUUCAGUCAUUUCCACCACAAAUGUGACAAUAAACAAAACACUAAAUAUGAGUUUUUAUCUUUCUUUAUUUGUAAAUCUUUAUAUUUAAUAUAAAACAAAGAUUAAAUGUAUUGGUAUCCCUUCAGGUUCAAAUAUUUAUGUACAAGGAGAUAUUGUGUUAAUUAAGCAUAAUAACAUGUUUCAUUAUCAGCACACUAAUUGAACAUGUUGUAAAGUCUAUAUUUACUAAUAUAUCCACAUUUAUGUAACUCACCUUUUCAGUAUGAUCUAUUAUGUCGCUAAUCGACAUUUUUGGCUUCUGUAGCUUUAAUCGUGUAACUUCUUCUUGUAGCUUAGCAAUCUGCUUCUCCAAGACUGAUACUGUAAUUUUAAUUUCUACAUAUAAUUGUAAUCAUGUGUUGUCGGUUCUUCUCCUUUAAUUGUUUCAUUAUCGAAUGUGAACAUGUUAAAUAAAUUUCAUUGUAUUAAAGAUAAAUUGUAUU
rnacentral:sRNA from 1 species